rnacentral:rRNA from 2 species
UCUUGACAUCCACAGAACUUUCCAGAGAUGGAUUGGUGCCUUCGGGAACUGUGAGACAGGUGCUGCAUGGCUGUCGUCAGCUCGUGUUGUGAAAUGUUGGGUUAAGUCCCGCAACGAGCGCAACCCUUAUCCUUUGUUGCCAGCGGUCCGGCCGGGAACUCAAAGGAGACUGCCAGUGAUAAACUGGAGGAAGGUGGGGAUGACGUCAAGUCAUCAUGGCCCUUACGACCAGGGCUACACACGUGCUACAAUGGCGCAUACAAAGAGAAGCGACCUCGCGAGAGCAAGCGGACCUCAUAAAGUGCGUCGUAGUCCGGAUUGGAGUCUGCAACUCGACUCCAUGAAGUCGGAAUCGCUAGUAAUCGUGGAUCAGAAUGCCACGGUGAAUACGUUCCCGGGCCUUGUACACACCGCCCGUCACACCAUGGGAGUGGGUUGCAAAAGAAGUAGGUAGCUUAACCUUCGGGAGGGCGCUUACCACUUUGUGAUUCAUGACUGGGGUGAAGUCGUAACAAGGUAACCGUAGGGGAACCUGCGGUUGGAUCAC